rnacentral:misc_RNA from 1 species
GAUGAAGAACGUAGCGAAAUGCGAUACGUAGUGUGAAUUGCAGAAUUCAGUGAAUCAUCGAAUCUUUGAACGCACAUUGCGCCCGCUGGUAUUCCGGCGGGCAUGCCUGUUCGAGCGUCAUUUCAACCCUCAAGCCCCCGGGUUUGGUGUUGGGGAUCGGCUCUGCCUUACGGCGGUGCCGCCCCCGAAAUACAUUGGCGGUCUCGCUGCAGCCUCCAUUGCGUAGUAGCUAACACCUCGCAACUGGAACGCGGCGCGGCCAUGCCGUAAAACCCCAACUUCUGAAUGUUGACCUCGGAUCAGGUAGGAAUACCCGCUGAACUUAAGCAUAUCAAUAAGCGGAGGA